AGUUGAGUGAUCUCUCAGCUGUUUAGUCAUUCAACUCAAGUUACAAGAACUUGUGUUUUUAGGUUUCAAAAUGGUCUUAAAAUUAUAAUGAGACAAUUUUAGUUGAGUUGACUUGAAAUUAGCAAAACUUAUCUAUAAAAUUUACUUUAUAAUAAGAUUUGAUUCUUAUUAUAAGUAAACUAGAAAAGGUAAUUUGAUUUUACUGAAUUCCUUUAUGAUGUUUUACAGUGUAAACUGUUAACCUGAAAGUUCUUUCUACUCAACAGUUUAGUUUUGUUGCAUUACUGAAACAGUAUGAGUAUAUGGAGAGUGUUUGAGGCAGUCAUUUGGUGUACUCACUUUUAUAAGUUUUUAAACUUAAAAGUUUAAAAAAAAAACUUAAACCAGGCCACAGUUGCUGCCCUGUUGGCCCUGAUUGACUCACAACUCAGGACUAGUCUGGGCUUGACUGUUGUAGAACACAGAGGAGGCCUGUGGACUUUGCAUGCUCCUUGGACAAUACCUUUUCUGCUUGCAUUUUUCAGUUUUUGCAAGUUUGGACCCUUUCAAAGGACGUUUGUCUGCAGUAAAGCAGAUAUCAUUUUCUGUCUGAACCAGACUCUGUGGACAUUCCAGUGGGAAUUUUCUGCCAUGAGGACAACAGCGCUGCAAGCCCAGCAUCACCACAACUAAACCCGUCAAGAGUGGGGAUCAUCCAGAGGGCAGCCCUGUAAUGGACGCACUCACCAACCUACCUCAAGCAAUGUGCCUCUUGUUCGGCUUUACCUAUGUGCUUACCUGUGUUUCAAUAAAAUGAGUAAAAUGUA